UGGGGGGUUGCCCGAGUGGUUAAAGGGGGCGGACUGUAAAUCCGCUAGCUUUGCUUACACAGGUUCGAAUCCUGUACCCCCCAU
rnacentral:tRNA from 4 species